UGGGGAAUAUUGCACAAUGGGCGCAAGCCUGAUGCAGCCAUGCCGCGUGUGUGAAGAAGGCCUUCGGGUUGUAAAGCACUUUCAGCGAGGAGGAAGGUGGUGAGCUUAAUACGCUCAUCAAUUGACGUUACUCGCAGAAGAAGCACCGGCUAACUCCGUGCCAGCAGCCGCGGUAAUACGGAGGGUGCAAGCGUUAAUCGGAAUUACUGGGCGUAAAGCGCACGCAGGCGGUUUGUUAAGUCAGAUGUGAAAUCCCCGGGCUCAACCUGGGAACUGCAUUUGAAACUGGCAAGCUAGAGUCUCGUAGAGGGGGGUAGAAUUCCAGGUGUAGCGGUGAAAUGCGUAGAGAUCUGGAGGAAUACCGGUGGCGAAGGCGGCCCCCUGGACGAAGACUGACGCUCAGGUGCGAAAGCGUGGGGCAGCAAACAGGAUUAGAUACCCUGGUAGUCCACGCUGCAAACGAUGUCGAUUUUGGAGGUUGUGCCCUUGAGGCGUGGCUUCCGGAGCUAACGCGUUAAAUCGACCGCCUGGGGAGUACGGCCGCAAGGUUAAAACUCAAAUGAAUUGACGGGGUC
rnacentral:rRNA from 1 species